rnacentral:rRNA from 1 species
AUUGAACGCUGGCGGCAGGCCUAACACAUGCAAGUCGAACGAGUGGCGGACGGGUGAGUAAUGUCAGGGAGAAUGCGCGAUGGAGGGGGAUAACUGCUGGAAACGGUGGCUAAUACCGCGUACCAUCGGAUGUGCCCAGAUGGGCAUAGCUUGUAGGUGAGGUAACGGCUCACCAAGGCGACGAUCCCUAGCUGGGAUGGGCGGAGGACCAGCCACACUGGGACUGAGACACGGUCCAGAUUCCUACGGGCGGCAGCAGUGGGGAAUAUUGCACAAUGGGCGCAAGCCUGAUGCAGCCAUGCCGCGUGUAUGAAGAAGGCCUUCGGGUUGUAAAGUACUUUCAGCGGUGAGGCGUUACCCGCAGAAGAAGCACCGGCUAACUCCGUGCCAGCCGCCGCGGUAAUUC